CUCGGGGCGUUGCCCCGAGCUACGUUAGGCCGCCCCUUCGGGGCU
rnacentral:sRNA from 1 species